GACGAACGCUGGCGGCAUGCCUAAUACAUGCAAGUCGAGCGAACAGAUGAAGUGCUUGCACUUCUGACGUUAGCGGCGAACGGGUGAGUAACACGUAAGGAAUCUACCUAUAAGCGGGGGAUAACAUUCGGAAACGGGUGCUAAUACCGCAUAAUAUCUUCUUCCGCAUGGAAGAAGAUUGAAAGACGGCUCUGCUGUCACUUAUAGAUGACCUUGCGGUGCAUUAGUUAGUUGGUGGGGUAAUGGCCUACCAAGACGAUGAUGCAUAGCCGACCUAUGAGGGUGGUCGGCCACAUUGGGACGGAGACACGGCCCAAACUCCUACGGGAGGCAGCAGUAGGGAAUCUUCCGAAAUGGGCGAAAGCCUGACGGAGCAAUGCCGCGUGGGUGAAGAAGGCCUUCGGGUCGUAAAACUCUGUUAUAAGAGAAGAACAAAUUGUAGAGUAACUGCUACAGUCUUGACGGUAUCUUAUCAGAAAGCCACGGCUAACUACGUGCCAGCCGCCGCCGUAA
rnacentral:rRNA from 1 species